AGGCCACGGUCAAAGGUGAGUGAGUCCCCGACUCUGGCUGGCAGAAGGAGUAGACAUUUUGAAAAGAAAUUUCAAGUGUGGAAGAAGCUAACUGCUGAAUUUAAGAGGAUUACAACCAUCAGUUUGCUGUCAAAGUUCUUCUCCCAGGUGGAUGCUCAUUCUUCAAACUUGAUGAGGGUGUUUGGCAAGAAAGGCGGCGUUCAAGGAAGAAAGAUAAGGAGCAUCAUGAUACCCAUCACCAAGACUGACGCCAUUGAUGUCAAAAGAGAGUGAAUCAUCAAAGCCCUGUGUGUGUACCUGAAUGAAGAGCCCGAGAACCUUGUGAAAGAAUACAUGAACACAGAUUGUGGGAGCAGUGAAGCUGCAGUGAUGGAGACGACAUUUGGAAUAUUUGUCAUUCGCAAGGAAGGUGCAGAGCCAGGUGAUGGACCGGAAGAUGUAGGUAUAGUUCUGGAUGGGCUCGGAAACGUGCCACUUGCUGUGGUCAUGUUGUUUGCGCUUGUAUAUGCGCUUAACCUCAGCUACCCGCCAGAGCUCAGAUACACCUUUGAAGCUUUGCAGAAGAUCAUCGUGGAGCUUGAUGGAAACAUACUCUCAAAAAAAACUCAAACACUGAAAACUCUACUUGCGUGUUAGUCACCCUCAAUAGAGUAAACUACAGGUUUGGAGUUACUCUAAUGGGAAGGCAUUUGAAGCCAUUUGAGUAGUUACUGAACUGAAAGCU